AAUUGGGGACUUGCUCAUUUUGAGUAGGCCAGAGCUAUUGAGCCACAAAUAACGAGUUGGCAAGACUGAGUGACAUUGACCUCCGAAGCCUUUAUCACAGCCAUGCGCGGUUCAGAUCUGUGAUCUCAAAACUCGGGAAGAUGGAGCAGGGGAAUUUCUAGUUCAAGGCUUGAACCACAGCUAUCUAGCACGACUCCUCCUCAAAAAUAAACAAAACAAAUUGUUUUCACUAUGAGCCAUGGCUGGGUCUUUAGGAGCUGCCUGCAAUUCUAAAGAUUCUGCAGUGGUUGCUGAAUGGGUGGUUGCAUUCCUUGCAACUUGUAACUCUUCGCAUAAACAGGGAAAUGGUGUUUGCUGAAUGAAUCGAAGCAAGGCAAUUUGGAAACCCUGUCACUGAGCCUUGCAGCCAUUCACACGCCUCUGAAUCACUUGGAGAAAUGAUCUGAGUCAGUAGAGCUGAGAUGCUACAGUUCUAAGGAGAUGCUGGUUGGUGACAGCUCUGCUGCUCUGGGUACUUCAUUUUGAGGAUGAGGUCAUUUGAAACCAAGGACAAAAGGGCGGCAAGAACACCCAUUGCCAUCAGCGAAAACCAGUCUGGCUGCUGAGGGAGGGGCAGGAGUUUUUCUGGCUGAUUCUGGCCAGCUCUUGCCCUGGCCAGUUCACUUUCCCUUUUCUUGUAAAUGUCUUUUGUCUUUCGUGGUUGGAGGGAAAUGAAGAAAGCCAACCAAAGGCCCAGUGGAGACAGGUGUCCCGCGCGAUAGUCUUGCCGGCAAGAACCACAUAGGACAUUCGGAUCCUUCUGCAGUAAAGCUUUAAUGCGUCUUGAGAGGAGAGCAUAAGCUUACCAGAGCGGAGACCCCGAGCCAAGA